UACGGGGGGGGUAAGCGUUGUUCGGAAUUACUGGGCGUAAAGGGCUCGUAGGCGGCCAACUAAGUCACACGUGAAAUCCCCAGCUUAACCUGGGAACUGCGUGUGAUACUGGAUGGCUUGAAUUCGGGAGAGGGAUGCAGAAUUCCAGGUGUAGCGGUGAAAUUCGUAGAUAUCGGGAGGAACACCGGUGGCGAAGGCGGCGACCUGGGUCGAGACUGACGCUGAGGCGCGAAAGCGUGGGGAGCAAACAGG
rnacentral:rRNA from 1 species